AGUCCCCGUACGGCGCGAGCCAGGGGAGCCGGGGACCCAUCGCAGUCCCUGGGGUGAAUCGGACGCCCGCGCGCACCGCGAGGGGGUCCGUAGGAGACCUUCCACCUCCGAACCCGUCAGCUAACCCGGUAGGCGAGAGGGAAGGA
rnacentral:sRNA from 13 species